rnacentral:rRNA from 1 species
CAAUAGCGUAUACUAAAGUUGUUGCGAUUAAAAAGCUCGUAGUUGGAUCUCAGGCAUGGGCGCACGGUCCGCCUCGCGGCGGUCACUGUGUGUUUUGUUUCCCAUCCUACGCUUCCCGGUUAUCAGCCCAUGGUGCUCUUCACUGAGCGUUUUGGGUGGCCGGAACGUUUACUUUGAAGAGAUUAGAGUGUUCAAAGCAGGCACGUCGCCUGAAUAAUGGUGCAUGGAAUAAUGGAAUAGGACCUCGGUUCUAUUUUGCUGGUUUUCGGAACACGAGGUAAUGAUUAAGAGGGACAGACGGGGGCAUCCGUAUUGCGGUGUUAGAGGUGAAAUUCUUGGAUCAUCGCAAGACGAACAACUGCGAAAGCAUUUGCCAAGCAUGUUUUCAUUAG